rnacentral:rRNA from 1 species
CAAAUUGGUGCCAGCAGUCGCGGUUAUACAAAUGAUGCAAAUAAAUUUUUUCAGUAAGAGUUAAAUUGUAUAGAAAUUAAAAAAAUUAUCUUUAUUAGGUGAAAUUUUAAAGAUUUGCAAUAAAAAAAAAUAAUGCAUUGAAGCUCAAAAAUUUUUCUAAAAAACUAGGAUUAGAUACCCUAUUAUUAAAAAUGUAAGUUAUUAACUUGAGUAGUAUUAGUUAUGUUCUUGAAACUUAAAAAAUUUGGCGGUAUUUUAGUCUAUUCAGAGGAACCUGUCCUAUAAUCGAUAUUCCACGUUGGACCUUUCUUAAGUUUGUAAUCAGUUUAUAUACCGUCGUUAUCAGAAUAUUUUAUAAGAAUAAUAAUUUUCUAGAAUUUGAAUAAAAAUUUAUAUCAGAUCAAGGUGUAGCUUAUGCUUAAGAAGAGAUGGGUUACAAUAAAAAUAUUUUUGGAUGUAGCAAUGAAAAAGUUAUUGAAAUUGGAUUUGAUAGUAAAAUUAAAGAGAUUAUUAAUUUGAUUUUAGCUCUAAAAUAUGUCACAUCGCCCGUCGCCCU